rnacentral:rRNA from 1 species
CCUACGGGAGGCAGCAGUGAGGAAUAUUGGUCAAUGGGCUUACGCCUGAACCAGCCAAGUCGCGUGAGGGAAGACUGCCCUAUGGGUUGUAAACCUCUUUUGUCAGGGAGCAACGCCGGCUACGUGUAGCCGGACUGAGAGUACCUGAAGAAAAAGCAUCGGCUAACUCCGUGCCAGCAGCCGCGGUAAUACGGAGGAUGGGAGCGUUAUCUGGAUUGAUUGGGUUUAAGGGGUGCGUAGUCGUAAUGCCAAGUCAGCGGUAAAAUCGCGGGGCUCAACCUCGCUCCGCCGUUGAAACUGGCGUUCUUGAGUGGGCGAGAAGUAUGCGGAAUGCGUGGUGUAGCGGUGAAAUGCAUAGAUAUCACGCAGAACUCCGAUUGCGAAGGCAGCAUACCGGCGCCCAACUGACGCUGAAGCACGAAAGCGUGGGUAUCGAACAGGAUUAGAUACCCCUGUAGUC